rnacentral:rRNA from 1 species
CCCGCUGAACUUAAGCAUAUCAAUAAGCGGAGGAAAAGAAACCAACAGGGAUUACCCUAGUAACGGCGAGUGAAGCGGUAACAGCUCAAAUUUGAAAUCUGACCUUCACGGGUUCGAGUUGUAAUUUGAAGAGGAUGCUUUUGGUGCGGUGCCUUCCGAGUUCCCUGGAACGGGACGCCAUAGAGGGUGAGAGCCCCGUCUGGUUGGAUGCCAAACCUCUGUAAAGCUCCUUCGACGAGUCGAGUAGUUUGGGAAUGCUGCUCAAAAUGGGAGGUAUAUGUCUUCUAAAGCUAAAUAUUGGCCAGAGACCGAUAGCGCACAAGUAGAGUGAUCGAAAGAUGAAAAGCACUUUGAAAAGAGGGUUAAAUAGUACGUGAAAUUGUUGAAAGGGAAGCACUCAUGACCAGACUUGGGCCCGGUGAAUCAUCCAGCGUUCUCGCUGGUGCACUUUGCCGGCCCAGGCCAGCAUCAGUUCGUUGUGGGGGAAAAAGGCUUCGGGAACGUGGCUCCUUCGGGAGUGUUAUAGCCCGUUGCAUAAUACCCUGUGAUGGACUGAGGUUCGCGCUCCGCAAGGAUGCUGGCGUAAUGGUCAUCAGUGACCCGUCUUGAAACAC